rnacentral:rRNA from 1 species
AACGAACGCUGGCGGCAUGCCUAACACAUGCAAGUCGAACGAGACCUUCGGGUCUAGUGGCGCACGGGUGCGUAACGCGUGGGAACCUGCCCUUAGGUUCGGAAUAACUCCCCGAAAGGGGUGCUAAUACCGGAUAAUGUCUUCGGACCAAAGAUUUAUCGCCUUUGGAUGGGCCCGCGUUGGAUUAGCUAGUUGGUAGGGUAAAAGCCUACCAAGGCGACGAUCCAUAGCUGGUCUGAGAGGAUGAUCAGCCACACUGGGACUGAGACACGGCCCAGACUCCGACGGGAGGCAGAGGUGGGGAAUAUUAGACGAUGGGCGAAAGCCUGAUCCAGCAAUGCCGGGUGAGUGAUGAAGGCCUUAGGGUUGUAAAGCUCUUUUACCCGGGAUGAUAAUGACAGUACCGGGAGAAUAAGCUCCGGCUAACUCCGUG